CAGCCAUAUCACGGUGAAGCAUCGAUUCUCGUCAGAUCACCGAAGUUAAGCAACGUUGAAACUGCUCAGUAGCUAGGUACCUGUAUGGGUGACCGCUUCGGAUUAGCAGGUGCUGUAA